UACAGAGGUCCCGAGCGUUGUUCGGAUUUCUUGGGCGUAAAGGGUGCGUAGGCGGCGGAGUAAGUUGGGUGUGAAAUCCCGGGGCUUAACCUCGGAAUUGCAUUCAAUACUGCUUCGCUUGAGUACUGGAGAGGAGGCUGGAAUUUACGGUGUAGCAGUGAAAUGCGUAGAUAUCAUGAGGAAUACCAGAGGCGAAGGCGGCUACCUGGACAAUUGCUGACGCUCAGGCACGAAAGCGUGGGGAGCAAAAGGG
rnacentral:rRNA from 1 species